rnacentral:pre_miRNA from 11 species
UACUCUUCUGGAAUAUUUCUCGCUGCCUUCAGCUUCUUUACAGUGCUGCCUUGUUGCUUAUGGAUCAAGCAGCAUUGUACAGGGCUAUGAAGGCAUUGAGUACUGCUUCAUUGUAAGUAG